rnacentral:rRNA from 1 species
GAGCAACCUGCCCCUGACUCUGGGAUAAGCGGUGGAACGCCGUCUAAUACCGGAUACGACCCGCCCACCUCAUGGGGGAGGGUGGAAAGUUUUUCGGUCAGGGAUGGGCUCGCGGCCUAUCAGCUUGUUGGUGGGGUAACGGCCUACCAAGGCGAUUACGGGUAGCCGGCCUGAGAGGGCGACCGGCCACACUGGGACUGAGACACGGCCCAGACUCCUGCGGGAGGCAGCAGUGGGGAAUAUUGCGCAAUGGGCGAAAGCCUGACGCAGCGACGCCGCGUGGGGGAUGACGGCCUUCGGGUUGUAAACCUCUUUUACCACCAAACGCAGGCUCGAAGUUCUUCUUCGGGUUGACGGUAGGUGGGGAAUAAGGACCGGCUAACUACGUGCCAGCAGCCGCGGUAAUACGUAGGGUCCGAGCGUUGUCCGGAAUUAUUGGGCGUAAAGAGCUCGUAGGCGGCGUGUCGGCGUCUGCUGUGAAAGACCGGGGCUUAACUCCGGUUCUGCAGUG